GCGUUGUUCGGAUUCAUUGGGCGUAAAGGGUGCGUAGGUGGCGCCGUAAGUCAGGUGUGAAAUCUCGGGGCUCAACCCCGAAACUGCACUUGAUACUGCGGUGCUCGAGUACUGGAGAGGAGAUUGGAAUUUACGGUGUAGCAGUGAAAUGCGUAGAUAUCGUAAGGAAGACCAGUGGCGAAGGCGAAUCUCUGGACAGUUACUGACACUGAGGCACGAAGGCCAG
rnacentral:rRNA from 1 species